GAGCUUGAAAAAUAUGUCCGGCCACGGUGGGAUUCGAACCUACGAGGUCGUAGGUUCGAAUCCCACCGUGGCCGGGCAUAUUUUCCAAGCUC